GAGGGGAAGGUGAAGGAUGUAAGGAGUCAGGGACAUAAGAACCAGAAAUAAAAGUGAAAGAGGAGAGGGGAAGGUGAAGAUCAUAAGGAGACUCGGACAUAAGAACCAGAAAUAAAAGAGAGAUGGGAGAGGGGAAGGUGAAGGAUGUAAGGAGUCAGGGACAUAAGAAGCAGAAAUAAAAGUGAAAGAGGAGAGGGGAAGGUGAAGGAUGUAAGGAGUCAGGGACAUAAGAACCAGAAAUAAAAGUGAAAGAGGAGAGGGGAAGGUGAAGAUCAUAAGGAGACUCGGACAUAAGAACCAGAAAUAAAAGAGAGAUGGGAGAGGGGAAGGUGAAGAUCAUAAGGAGACUCGGAC